UACGUAGGUAGCGAGCGUUAUCCGGAUUUAUUGGGUUUAAAGGGUGCGUAGGCGGCUUAGUAAGUCGGUGGUUAAAGGUAGUCGCUUAGCGAUUUUACAUGCCACCGAUACUGUUGAGCUUGAGUUAUUUGGAGGCAGCUAGAAUUUCCGGUGUAGCGGUGAAAUGCAUAGAUACCGGAAGGAAUACCAAUUGCGAAGGCAGGUUGCUACAAAUAUACUGACGCUGAUGCACGAAAGCGUGGGGAUCAAACAGG
rnacentral:rRNA from 1 species